rnacentral:rRNA from 1 species
GUGGGGAAUUUUGGACAAUGGGCGCAAGCCUGAUCCAGCAAUGCCGCGUGCAGGAAGAAGGCCUUCGGGUUGUAAACUGCUUUUGUACGGAACGAAAAGGUCUGGGUUAAUACCCUGGGCUCAUGACGGUACCGUAAGAAUAAGCACCGGCUAACUACGUGCCAGAAGCCGCGGUAAUACGUAGGGUGCGAGCGUUAAUCGGAAUUACUGGGCGUAAAGCGUGUGCAGGCGGUUUUGUAAGACAGGCGUGAAAUCCCCGGGAUCGACCUGGGAAUGGCGCUUGUGACUGCAAAGCUGGAGUGCGGCAGAGGGGGAUGGAAUUCCGCGUGUAGCAGUGAAAUGCGUAGAUAUGCGGAGGAACACCGAUGGCGACGGCAAUCCCCUGGGCCUGCACUGACGCUCAUGCACGAAAGCGUGGGGAGCAAACAGGAUUAGAAACCCGGGUAGUCC